CUGAGUUUUUCGUCGGCUGUUUAGAUGUUUCUCCUCUCAAUUCAACUGUGAAUCGCAAAACUGAGAGAGAUAUGAGACACGGAAGAGGUAAAGAAUAAACAAAAAAAACACUUUUUUUUUCAACCAAUCAGGUGUCGACACGACCGAGAUCCUUAACAAUCCUUAGAGUAUCUCCAUCAAGCUAACAAGAAGAAGAAGAAGCCAUGAGAGUUGAAACAAUCAAAUAACAACAAAGUCAAUUCCUGUUCUUUGGUAAGAGAUUUUGCGGCGACAGUUUCCUUUGGGUUUCAGAUUUCGUGUCCUUGUGAUACACGAGGGAUUGAAGUUUCCCCAAAAGAUAUUGAGAAAACAGUCAAGGAAUUUUGUGAAGAGAAUAAGAAAACAAUAUUGGAGCAGCACUAUCAAACUAAUGGAAAAGGAUAUUAGCUUAAGUGGGGAACAUGUUAGGGAGGGAUUCGAAGCAGGUGGGGGUUCUCUGUGGUGUGUUUGGGAAUUAGGAAGUUGUUGGUGAUUCGAUCUUAGCAAAGCUCAAAUCCAUGGCAAUCUCAAGGAGAGAGAUCCCAUUAUUUUGUUGCCUAAUCAGUCUGAUGAUAUCUCUCAUUUAGCUCUUGAUAUCGGAGGAUCUUUGAUAAAGCUGAUGUAUUAUUCACGGCAUGAGGACUACUCGAAUGAUGAUGAUAAGCGUAAGAAGACGAUCAAGGAGAGAUUGGGUAUAACCAAUGACAACUUGAGAAGCUAUCAUGUUCUUGGUGGGAGACUUCAUUUUGUCAAGUUUAAAACUAACAAAAUUAAUGAGUGUUUGGAUUUUAUUCAUUCCAAGCAGCUUCAUCACUGAGGUAUUGGCUUUUUUCCUCUUCUUAUGUUACAAACUUCUGGACUGAACGCUAGAUUGAUGUGCUUACAUAAUGAUUAUGCUAAGUUGAUGUGUUUUUGUCAUUUGAUAUACCAGAAAACAUUUGAGAAGAUUAUUGUUUUAGGUGAAAACUUUUAUAUGUCUUGUAUAUCCUUGUCAUGUAAUUUGCUGAUUUGGAUUUGAUUAGUUUAUGGUUGCUUGCCUC